rnacentral:rRNA from 1 species
UACGGAGGUGGCAAGCGUUGUUCGGAUUCAUUGGGUGUAAAGGGCAUGUAGGCGGUCUCUUAAGUCGAUUGUGAAAUCCCCCGGCUCAACCUGGGAACUGCAAUCGAUACUGGGAGGCUUGAGUGCAGAAGAGGAGAGUGGAAUUCCCAGUGUAAGGGUGAAAUCUGCAGAGAUCGGGAGGAACACCAGUGGCGAAAGCGGCUCUCUGGUCUGCAACUGACGCUGAAAUGCGAAAGCUAGGGGAGCAAACAGGAUUAGAUACCCUCGUA